rnacentral:tRNA from 1 species
AUAAGGGUAGCAGAAUAAUAUGUAUUAGAUUUAGGUUCUAAAGGUUGAAUAGUCUAAACUUGUUCUCUUAUA